rnacentral:sRNA from 1 species
GGAAUUUCAUCGGAGCGACCUCCUCCCCGCUUCGAUGAAUAAGAUCAGCCGCUCCUCCUCCCAAUUGGCUGAUCACCCUAACGGCGCCCGCCGGAACCUCCUCCCCCGGCGGGCGCUGUUA